CUCUUGGGUGAGGGCUCUUGUCUACCAACUUACUAAAACUGACCUGAAAGAAUUGAUAAGUAUCUUCAUUACUAUACAUAGAAAAUAAAGUUGUUUUGUUACCAUCUCCUCAGAAGAACCAGGCAUCCCCAACUUUUGGGGCUCUUUGCCUGCAGCAACCUCUUCUUUUCCUCACAUCUGGAUUAGUCUGUCCUGCCUUAGUUGGCAUAAUUAUUCUUCAUUUGCAGGACUCAGCUCUACUUUUUCUCCUUUUCCUUCCCUUCCCAGAAACGUCUGGACUCUUUGUUUUUGCAAAGCUGAUGCCACAGUUUAAAUAGUGCUAGUACCUGACAGAGCUCUUCUCUCACCUGGGACACUUCAUCCUCCAGGGACAAAGGAUUACACCACGGAGAAGGGAAUGUGAGUCCCUGACCUGCGGCGCUGAGUGACAAACUGCCACGAGGUGUUUUCUGUCCUGCCCCAUCCUCCAAGGCAGCUCACAGGCACAGGCACUGGAGUUUGAGAGGCUCAGAAACAGCUGCACUGGGGCUGUACCAGGACAAGAUUACUAAUUCUCAGCCACAAUCUGUGAUGGAAAUUGUGAAGCAAUCUACAUGAGUGAAUUCAGUUUUUCUGAUGUCUUGAGUUGUAAGGAACUGCACAGAUUUGCCUUGGCCAGGAAGGAAGAACUUCACUCCUAGUGGACUCAGCUGUGAUGAAAGGCACUGCAUUUUGCUCUAGUGCAGAAAGCAAAACAGGAGCAAGGGGACAGGGCUGCAGUCUUACUUCUCUGAAAGAUGAUUCCUUGCAGUGAUGCUGUCACAGGGGGCUGCACAGUGUGACUUUGGAUCUGUGCUACCUAAGAAAAAGCCCCCUCUGGUGUGGAUGCUGUCUCUGUGAAGGUCCCCGGCCUGCAUACUGCACAAACAUUGUGGGGAGCUCACCACAAAGAUGAAAACUUCGUAGAGAAUGGCUUUACCCGUCCUCACUGUCACCAGCCUCCCUGGGAACAGCCUAGCCUGUGGCCAACAGGGAAAAAGUAGUUAAGGACAACAUGGUACCACCCCCCCCUUACACUGUCUUGGAUUAUCAGAUAUUUAUCAUCCUCUGCUUUCUAAAUGAUCCUUAAUGUUGGACCUCUUGGAUUAUGAGAGGAACCUCAAAGAGACUGAGAAUAAUGUGAAAGUGGUGAGGAGAAAAUGAAAAGAAAGGCAAGCACCGUGACAGAGAAGAGAUCCAAUUUUCCUAAGUGUCUAAGGGACUUAUGAGAUCAAAUCUCUUGUAGGCUGAAGUCACUGGGGGUGAUUCUCAUAAUUUACCCAAUUUAGCAGGAAAAAAAUAAAAACAGGAUAUAAGCUUGGCAAUGAUUAUGCUGUAGGCAAAACAACCUUUACUUGCAAGGUCUCUUGCUAGACUGUCUGUAUCCUAACUGGGAUGGUGGGUCCCUGGGGAAUUCCCCCUCGUACACAUCCUUUCUCGGCAGUCAGAGAGCAACUAAUGUGCAAGAAUGCCUGGAAGGAGAAUCUCGUCACAGUUUUUGAGUGACAGCUUGUAAACUGUACAGUCUCCAGUAGAAAGCCUGUCUGCUGGUAUUUCAGUUCCCUGAUUGGGAUUCUGUUUCCCCUGCAGUCUGGCCUCUCCUUGUCUGUUUGUUUUGUUAUCGUUUGUAUGGAGAUCAUCAGAUGCAAGUACAUUUGACAUAUGGAGAUAACAGUCAGGAAAGGAAACAGCAUAUGGCAGACAAUUCAUAUCCAUCAAGAUCUGUCAUAAAACCAUUUUUAGCAAUAGAAAAAGAAGGGAGGAAAAAGACAGCAGGUUUGAAUUUAAAACAACCACAGUAUUCGAACAAACAGGAGGGCCUAGGGCUUGCUUUGCUGAAUGACACCACCAGUUCACCGAGGCCAGCAGCAGUUGGUACCCAGUGCUUCAACGGUGGGUUAAAAUCUUCUGCAGUGCAUUUGCCAAUUACUUUUUGACCAUCACAGCUGAUUAACGACUGGCCUCAAAGCCUUGACUGAAGCUAAAUGUAUUGACUGCCUAGCCUGUUGAAUUGCUACCUUGGGGUACUUCUGAAGUAAGAUGUCCUGUUCAUCUCAGGGUUGUAGGGUCAAGGGAGAAAGGCAACAUGGCAUGUGUGCUAAAGGGUGAGCAGACCUGGGGACCCCAGCAUGAUGUGCAUGGUCCGGCUCUCCUUGUGUAUCUCAUCUGCCUUGUGGCAACAUCACAUAACAAGCUGGGCAGAUGAAAUAGUCCAAGUCCUUCCCAGCAGGACACUAACAUUGCCUGCUGGAAGGACAGGUAACGUUCGUGUGUCGUAGUCUGAAGUCAAUUCAUGUGCAAGGGUGCUUGGCUAUGCAGCACUGGUGUAGCACCGAUAACCUAUGUUAAGGUGUGGAUGUAUUCUAGAAACAUGUCGUUCGAUUUCUUUAUCUAAAAAAAUAAAAAUAAAUAAAUAAA